ACAGGCAGAGCUACUUCCUUGUUUGAAAACGUACAGUACUUCUUCCGCCUCUUUAAGUACAAGGGUGGUCUUUUCCCCAACCUUCCGCAAAUUCAUUGGCUGAAGAUUCUGAAGCUGUAGUACAAAAUGAUCAGACGGUGAUUGGUAGGAUAACCUUCUACAAGAAACAGGCAUCUGCAGGAUCACCAUGAUGGCUGGGGAUCCAACCUGGACGCGUCGAGAUAAAUGCCUGGGUGGAGGAGGCAAGAAGGAAAACUAGCCAGCUGGACCCUUCUGUAUUUCUUUCUGGAACUGAAAGAGACAGGCAGGAGCCCUACAGUGCUGUAAGCCAUAUGAGACUGCUGCCUUCAGGAGGAGAAACGGUGUAUAGAUCAUUAUGCCUCAGCUAUGAAUGGGAACUCCUUUUCUCAUGUCCCAAAGAUUAAAGAAGUCUUACAGAAGGAGUAGAGCCAAAUGGGAUGAGAAAGAUGUCUGGAACAAGAAAGCCACAAGAACACAUGAAGCCAUUUUAUACUGCCCAAAGCUUGGAAAUAUCUACAUUGAUUGACAUCAUGAAGAGGUAUUCACUAGUUGUCUUUGAUAUUGCUAAGGACUGAACCUGGACUGUUUUGCAUGUCGAACAGGCCUGCGCGGGAUCAAACUAAAAGUACAUGUCUAAAGGAUUCUGGAAGUUCAUAAGCAAAAUGUGACAACCGCAAGGGCACCUUUCCGAUUAUGCCCUUUAGAAAAUGAUAUUUUGAGCCCCAAGCUUAGAAAAAUACUUUGUAAAAUUCAAAAUCCCAGAAGAUCCAGCACUAGCAGGUGUAUGAGAGAGAUUACAGGAAUAUUUAUCCAAAAACCUUGUCUUUCCAAGCUGUAGCAAAGGAAUAAUACUUCUGGUCCAGGAGGGAAUCAUAGCCAGCAAGUCUAGUAACUAUGGAUAAUAAUAAUACAUUUUAUUUAUAUUGUGCUUUAUCUCCAUC